UACAGAGGUCCCGAGCGUUGUUCGGAUUUAUUGGGCGUAAAGAGCGUGUAGGCGGCUAGGUAGGUCCGUUGUGAAAACUCGAGGCUCAACCUCGAGACGUCGAUGGAAACCAUCUAGCUAGAGUCCGGAAGAGGAGAGUGGAAUUCCUGGUGUAGCGGUGAAAUGCGCAGAUAUCAGGAAGAACACCCGUGGCGAAGGCGGCUCUCUGGUACGUGACUGACGCUGAGACGCGAAAGCGUGGGGAGCGAACAGG
rnacentral:rRNA from 1 species